rnacentral:tRNA from 1 species
GGGUUUGUAGCUCAGCUGGUUAGAGCACACGAUUUGAUAAGCGUGGGGUCGGAGGUUCAAGUCCUCCCCAGACCCACCA